CCUACGGGAGGCAGCAGUGAGGAAUAUUGGUCAAUGGACGAGAGUCUGAACCAGCCAAGUAGCGUGAAGGAUGACUGCCCUAUGGGUUGUAAACUUCUUUUAUAUGGGAAUAACAUGUUCCACGUGUGGGAUUUUGUAUGUACCAUAUGAAUAAGGAUCGGCUAACUCCGUGCCAGCAGCCGCGGUAAUACGGAGGAUCCGAGCGUUAUCCGGAUUUAUUGGGUUUAAAGGGAGCGUAGGUGGAUUGUUAAGUCAGUUGUGAAAGUUUGCGGCUCAACCGUAAAAUUGCAGUUGAAACUGGCAGUCUUGAGUACAGUAGAGGUGGGCGGAAUUCGGGGUGUAGCGGUGAAAUGCUUAGAUAUCACGAAGAACUCCGAUUGCGAAGGCAGUUCACUGGACUGCAACUGACACUGAGGCUCGAAGGUGUGGGUAUCAAACAGGAUUAGAUACCCCAGUAGUC
rnacentral:rRNA from 1 species